UACGAAGGUCCCAAGCGUUAUCCGGAUUUAUUGGGUUUAAAGGGUGCGUAGGCGGGCUGUUAAGUCAGUGGUGAAAUCCUGUUGCCCAACAACAGAAUUGCCAUUGAUACUGACGGUCUUGAGUACAGUUGAGGUGGGCGGAAUGUGUCAUGUAGCGGUGAAAUGCUUAGAUAUGACACAGAACACCGAUUGCGAAGGCAGCUCACUAAAGUGUAACUGACGCUGAGGCACGAAAGCGCGGGGAGCAAACAGG
rnacentral:rRNA from 1 species